rnacentral:rRNA from 1 species
UGAUUUGAAGAGCUUGCUCAGAUAUGACGAUGGACAUUGCAAAGAGUGGCGAACGGGUGAGUAACACGUGGGAAACCUACCUCUUAGCAGGGGAUAACAUUUGGAAACAGAUGCUAAUACCGUAUAACAAUGACAACCGCAUGGUUGUUAUUUAAAAGAUGGUUCUGCUAUCACUAAGAGAUGGUCCCGCGGUGCAUUAGCUAGUUGGUAAGGUAAUGGCUUACCAAGGCGAUGAUGCAUAGCCGAGUUGAGAGACUGAUCGGCCACAAUGGGAUGAACCGCCCAUUCUAGGGAGCAGCAGUAGGGAAUCUUCCCAAUGGGGAAAGCCUGAUGGAGCAACGCCGCGUGUGUGAUGAAGGGUUUCGGCUCGUAAAACACUGUUGUAAGAGAAGAAUGACAUUGAGAGUAACUGUUCAAUGUGUGACGGUAUCUUACCAGAAAGGAACGGCUAAAUACGUGCCAGCAGCCGCGGUAAUACGUAUGUUCCAAGCGUUAUCCGGAUUUAUUGGGCGUAAAGCGAGCGCAGACGGUUAUUUAAGUCUGAAGUGAAAGCCCUCAGCUCAACUGAGGAAUUGCUUUGGAAACUGGAUGACUUGAGUGCAGUAGAGGAAAGUGGAACUCCAUGUGUAGCGGUGAAAUGCGUAGAUAUAUGGAAGAACACCAGUGGCGAAGGCGGCUUUCUGGACUGUAACUGACGUUGAGGCUCGAAAGUGUGGGUAGCAAACAGGAUUAGAUACCCUGGUAGUCCACACCGUAAACGAUGAGUGCUAGGUGUUUGAGGGUUUCCGCCCUUAAGUGCCGCAGCUAACGCAUUAAGCACUCCGCCUGGGGAGUACGACCGCAAGGUUGAAACUCAAAGGAAUUGACGGGGACCCGCACAAGCGGUGGAGCAUGUGGUUUAAUUCGAAGCAACGCGAAGAACCUUACCAGGUCUUGACAUCCCUUGACAACUCCAGAGAUGGAGCGUUCCCUUCGGGGACAAGGUGACAGGUGGUGCAUGGUUGUCGUCAGCUCGUGUCGUGAGAUGUUGGGUUAAGUCCCGCAACGAGCGCAACCCUUAUUACUAGUUGCCAGCAUUCAGUUGGGCACUCUAUGAGACUGCCGGUGACAAACCGGAGGAAGGUGGGGAUGACGUCAAAUCAUCAUGCCCCUUAUGACCUGGGCUACACACGUGCUACAAUGGCGUAUACAACGAGUUGCCAACCCGCGAGGGUGAGCUAAUCUCUUAAAGUACGUCUCAGUUCGGAUUGUAGGCUGCAACUCGCCUACAUGAAGUCGGAAUCGCUAGUAAUCGCGGAUCAGCACGCCGCGGUGAAUACGUUCCCGGGUCUUGUACACACCGCCCGUCACACCAUGAGAGUUUGUAACACCCAAAGCC